UGGGGAAUUUUGGACAAUGGGGGAAACCCUGAUCCAGCCAUCCCGCGUGUGCGAUGAAGGCCUUCGGGUUGUAAAGCACUUUUGGCAGGAAAGAAACGUCAUGGGUUAAUACCCCGUGAAACUGACGGUACCUGCAGAAUAAGCACCGGCUAACUACGUGCCAGCAGCCGCGGUAAGACGUAGGGUGCAAGCGUUAAUCGGAAUUACUGGGCGUAAAGCGUGCGCAGGCGGUUCGGAAAGAAAGAUGUGAAAUCCCAGAGCUCAACUUUGGAACUGCAUUUUUAACUACCGGGCUAGAGUGUGUCAGAGGGAGGUGGAAUUCCGCGUGUAGCAGUGAAAUGCGUAGAUAUGCGGAGAAACACCGAUGGCGAAGGCAGCCUCCUGGGAUAACACUGACGCUAAUGCACGAAAGCGUGGGGAGCAAACAGG
rnacentral:rRNA from 1 species